CAGUCGCCGCGGGAAUACGUAGGUGGCAAGCGUUGUCCGGAAUUAUUGGGCGUAAAGCGCGCGCAGGUGGUUUAAUAAGUCUGAUGUGAAAGCCCACGGCUCAACCGUGGAGGGUCAUUGGAAACUGUUAAACUUGAGUGCAGGAGAGAAAAGUGGAAUUCCUAGUGUAGCGGUGAAAUGCGUAGAGAUUGGGGGGAACUCCAGUGGCGAAGGCGGCUUUUUGGCCUGUAACUGACACUGAGGCGCGAAAGCGUGGGGAGCAACCAGGCUUAUAUACCCCUGUAGUCCCUGUCUCUUAUAC
rnacentral:rRNA from 1 species